rnacentral:sRNA from 1 species
AAUUCUGAAGACCGGGUUCAGAUUCACACCUAUUUCAAGCCCCCAAGUUGCCCUCGGACCAUCCAGGUGUCUGAUUUUGUGAGGUACCACUACAAUGGGACGUUCCUGGAUGGAACUCUGUUUGAUUCAAGUCACAAUCGCAUGAAAACAUAUGACACGUAUGUGGGAAUAGGCUGGCUGAUUCCUGGAAUGGAUAAAGGGCUGCUGGGGAUGUGUGUGGGUGAGAAGCGCAUCAUCACCAUUCCUCCUUUUCUGGCCUAUGGAGAGGAUGGAGAUGGGAAAGACAUUCCCGGUCAGGCAUCUCUGGUGUUUGAUGUUGCAUUAUUGGACCUCCAUAACCCCAAAGACAGCAUUUCCAUUGAGAACAAGGUAGUACCUGAAAACUGUGAGCGGAUAAGUCAAAGCGGGGACUUUCUCAGGUAUCAUUACAAUGGCACGCUUCUGGAUGGCACCCUCUUUGAUUCUAGCUACUCUCGGAACCGCACGUUUGACACGUACAUUGGGCAGGGCUACGUGAUUCCUGGGAUGGAUGAAGGUCUACUUGGUGUUUGCAUUGGAGAAAAGCGAAGGAUUGUGGUCCCCCCUCACCUGGGGUAUGGAGAGGAAGGAAGAGGACGGAGUCUCACUCUGUUGCCCAGGCUAGAGUACAGUGGUGCAAUCCUAGCUCACUGUAGCCUUGACCUCCUGGCCUCAAGCAAUCCUC